rnacentral:tRNA from 1 species
AGAAGUGUAAAGUAAAAUUUAAAGCUGCUAACUUUAAAAAUAGCGAUUAAAAUCCGUUAACACUUCUU